rnacentral:lncRNA from 1 species
AAUGCAUUCUGGUUACUGAUUUUGUGUUCAACAAAUGUUGGGCCUUCCUACUGGAGUGUGAUUUCAGUUUUUCUGACUAGAUAAGACAGCUAUUCUGCUUAUCAUAGAGCAGACUCUGCUUAUGUUCCAAGAUCUGUGAUUUGAUGACUUGACCAGCCCUGUGCCAUUCUGAUGUUGCUAACUAGCUAGUUGCUUUACACAGUUAUCAUAUUUUAUAAUGUCAAACUGGCACUGUCACAGGCCUGUCACUUAUAGACUUUAAGAAGUCUAUAAUUCAGUGGUUUCCUUAAAAUUUCUGGUGGUGCCUUUCAAAAUAUUCACAUGUUUAAGCCUCACUGAAUCAGAAUCUCCUGUUAGUCGAACCCAGAAACCCAUUGAUCUUGUCCCUCGCUUCUCUUUCAGAAACGAUACCACCCAAAUCAUCUUGCAAACCACAUGGAAAAUUGAAAAGGAGAUGACUUUCUGCAUAAAAGCAAGAAAAUGGAAAAGACUGAGGCUCAUUAUAUACCUGUAAGCAACCUAUCAUCUACUUUCUUUAUUAGUCGUAUAGUCCCAGAUGUAGACCUAGAAUAGUUCUUUUUCUUCUGGAUGAGUGGGUAAAUUUUACAACCACAGGCUUAAUGAGUAUGGAUAAAAUACAAAUACUCCCAAGACAAUUCUCCCUGGGAUCUAUCCCCAGCCAUCCGCAAUGCACAACUCCAGAG